rnacentral:rRNA from 1 species
GACGUAGGGCGCGAGCGUUGUCCGGAUUUAUUGGGCGUAAAGAGCUCGUAGGCGGCUUGUCGCGUCGUUCGUGAAAACCUGCAGCUCAACUGCAGGCUUGCGGUCGAUACGGGCAGGCUAGAGUUCGGUAGGGGAGACUGGAAUUCCUGGUGUAGCGGUGAAAUGCGCAGAUAUCGGGAGGAACACCUGAGGCGAAGGCGGGUUACUGGGCUGAUACUGACGCUGAUGCGCGAAAGCCAGGGGAGCAAACGGG